GGGGCUGUAGCUUCCGCCUUCAUUUUAUUUCGGCGGACAGGCAGUUGUUGGAGCAUCCCGAUUUUAUCGGGAAGGUCGUCGGUUCGAUCCCGAUCGGCUCCA
rnacentral:tRNA from 1 species